rnacentral:tRNA from 1 species
AGGAAGGCUCAGAAGCAAUAAGCACUGCUAAUUCUUAAACCCACAGUUAAACCCCGUGGCUUCCUC